ACUUCAGUUGCAAACUGGACACAGAUGUGCUACAGUCCCAACUGCCACGCCUGAUAGAGACAGUGAACUAAUACAGUCGAGCCUGCAAAGUGAUCAAUUAGGAAAAAGGAAAUCAACUGUGGAUAUUUUGACGUGAACAAGAGCUGAAACAUAGAAUGAAGGCGUAUUUAUUACUUUUGCUUGUCUUCGUUGCCAUUGCCGCCGUGACCCCUGAAAGUGGAAUGAUCGAAUCCGAUGUUGAAAGGUCGGCAGGAAACCAGAAGAUAACUAGCAUCUCAGAAUUCCUGCAGCGAUUCCGUCGAUCGUGUUGCCUUACUUGUCAUUCGUGGUGCAAGUGCUGCUUAGCGUAGAAAGACAUGCUUCUUCGUGCUUGCACCAUUGCAUACAAGAUGGAAACCGCUAUAGCUUUUGUUCAAACAAGAGAUGAAUGAGCUCGAAUUUUAGAAUCUUUCUCGAAAUUUUAUGUGUAUUGCGUGCUCUUUGAAUAAAGUUGA